rnacentral:rRNA from 1 species
CGCGUAGGCGGUUGACACAGUCAGGCGUGAAAUUCCUGGGCUUAACCUGGGGGCUGCGCUUGAUACAUGUUGACUUGAGUGUGGAAGAGGGUCGUGGAAUUCCCAGUGUAGAGGUGAAAUUCGUAGAUAUUGGGAAGAACACCGGUGGCGAAGGCGGCGACCUGGUCCAUUACUGACGCUGAGGCGCGAAAGCGUGGGGAGCAAACAGGAUUAGAUACCCUGGUAGUCCACGCUGUAAACGAUGUGUGCUGGAUGUUGGGUGGCCUAGCCAUUCAGUGUCGUAGCUAACGCGGUAAGCACACCGCCUGGGGAGUACGGCCGCAAGGUUGAA